rnacentral:rRNA from 1 species
UACAGAGGUCCCAAGCGUUGUUCGGAUUCACUGGGCGUAAAGGGUGCGUAGGCGGUCGGGUAAGUCUGAUGUGAAAUCUCACAGCUUAACUGUGAAACUGCAUUGGAUACUAUCCGGCUAGAGGAAUGGAGGGGAGACUGGAAUACUUGGUGUAGCAGUGAAAUGCGUAGAUAUCAAGUGGAACACCAGUGGCGAAGGCGAGUCUCUGGACAUUUCCUGACGCUGAGGCAUGAAAGCCAGGGGAGCAAACGGG